rnacentral:rRNA from 1 species
GGUUAAGCGACUAAGCGUACACGGUGGAUGCCCUGGCAGUCAGAGGCGAUGAAGGACGUGCUAAUCUGCGAUAAGCGUCGGUAAGGUGAUAUGAACCGUUAUAACCGGCGAUUUCCGAAUGGGGAAACCCAGUGUGUUUCGACACACUAUCAUUAACUGAAUCCAUAGGUUAAUGAGGCGAACCGGGGGAACUGAAACAUCUAAGUACCCCGAGGAAAAGAAAUCAACCGAGAUUCCCCCAGUAGCGGCGAGCGAACGGGGAGCAGCCCAGAGCCUGAAUCAGUGUGUGUGUUAGUGGAAGCGUCUGGAAAGGCGCGCGAUACAGGGUGACAGCCCCGUACACAAAAAUGCACAUGCUGUGAGCUCGAUGAGUAGGGCGGGACACGUGGUAUCCUGUCUGAAUAUGGGGGGACCAUCCUCCAAGGCUAAAUACUCCUGACUGACCGAUAGUGAACCAGUACCGUGAGGGAAAGGCGAAAAGAACCCCGGCGAGGGGAGUGAAAAAGAACCUGAAACCGUGUACGUACAAGCAGUGGGAGCACGCUUAGGCGUGUGACUGCGUACCUUUUGUAUAAUGGGUCAGCGACUUAUAUUCUGUAGCAAGGUUAACCGAAUAGGGGAGCCGAAGGGAAACCGAGUCUUAACUGGGCGUUAAGUUGCAGGGUAUAGACCCGAAACCCGGUGAUCUAGCCAUGGGCAGGUUGAAGGUUGGGUAACACUAACUGGAGGACCGAACCGACUAAUGUUGAAAAAUUAGCGGAUGACUUGUGGCUGGGGGUGAAAGGCCAAUCAAACCGGGAGAUAGCUGGUUCUCCCCGAAAGCUAUUUAGGUAGCGCCUCGUGAAUUCAUCUCCGGGGGUAGAGCACUGUUUCGGCAAGGGGGUCAUCCCGACUUACCAACCCGAUGCAAACUGCGAAUACCGGAGAAUGUUAUCACGGGAGACACACGGCGGGUGCUAACGUCCGUCGUGAAGAGGGAAACAACCCAGACCGCCAGCUAAGGUCCCAAAGUCAUGGUUAAGUGGGAAACGAUGUGGGAAGGCCCAGACAGCCAGGAUGUUGGCUUAGAAGCAGCCAUCAUUUAAAGAAAGCGUAAUAGCUCACUGGUCGAGUCGGCCUGCGCGGAAGAUGUAACGGGGCUAAACCAUGCACCGAAGCUGCGGCAGCGACACUAUGUGUUGUUGGGUAGGGGAGCGUUCUGUAAGCCUGUGAAGGUGUGCUGUGAGG